CCCUACGGGGGGCAGCAGUGAGGAAUAUUGGUCAAUGGGAGAGAUCCUGAACCAGCCAAGCCGCGUGAGGGAAGACGGCCCUAUGGGUUGUAAACCUCUUUUGUCGGAGAACAAAACCCGGGACGUGUCCCGGACUGCGUGUAUCCGAAGAAAAAGCAUCGGCUAACUCCGUGCCAGCAGCCGCGGUAAUACGGAGGAUGCGAGCGUUAUCCGGAUUUACUGGGUGUAAAGGGGGCGCAGACGGCAAUGCAAGCCAGGAGUGAAAGCCCGGGGCCCAACCCCGGGACUGCUCUUGGAACUGCAUG
rnacentral:rRNA from 1 species